CACCAUCGUCAUGGUAUUGGAGCUUUGAUCAAUGUUUCUUAGUUGACUUACAGUUUUUUUUUUUAUUUUAAACAUUUUCCUUUUCAUUCAUAACUUGCUUAGUGUUUAUAUUUGCUUCUCCUUGUAUUUCCUUAUUGCUUUAUUCCCAAAGUGUGGGCCAACGACCCCUGGUGGACUGUGAAGCUACUGCAGGCCCACACCCUGCACCUGUGUGACAGCAGUGUCCAUAGCAACAUCUCCUUAGCAACCACAUUCCUUUCUUAUCUGCUCAUUCCGUAGGUGGGAGACAUAAAACAAAGUGACAAAAGUG